ACUCUGGCUCAGUUCAUUGGAGAUGAAUGAUGUUAAAAAAAAAGCUGUUCAAGUCCUUGAAGAUGAGUUUGUUUGUUUGUUUUCUUCGUCCAGCUAUAAUGAAAGGGCUCUUGCUUCAGCUCUCUCUUUUCCUAGGCCUUACUUCUGAACGAAAGGCUGCUAAACCACAGAAGUUACUUUCGAAAGAGCUGAAGUAUUUCCUUCUGUUUCCCUGUCCUUUGCUCGCCUCCUGCCAUGCCGGCAGGCAGCCCUGCUUGAGAGAGGAGAAGCAAGGGGGGAAAAGAGGGAGAGAAACAUCGAUGCAAGACAGAAACAUCGACUGGUUGCCUCUUGCACCUGCCCCAACUGGGGACCAAACCUGCAACCCAGGCAUGUGCCGAGAAUCAAGCCCGUGACCUUUCGGUUUGCAGGACAAUGCCCAACGCACUGACUCACUCCUGCCAGAGCAAAAGAAUCAACAGUGCGAGAGCACUGUAUAGCUGUCUGCCGUUGCUCGCUACCAACUCCCCACAGGGCUUCCUAGCAAGAUACAGAUGGGAGAUGUGAAAUUUCUCACUUUUUAAGAUGUUUUUUCUACUUGUGGAGAAACACCAUUCUUUCACAGACUCUUCCUUGCCAGUGUCCUAAUUCCAAGCUGCAACUCUCGAUGGGAGUAUUUUGGGGGGCAUCUGUUUAUGAAUAUACUAUUCAUUUGCAUCUCAAUUUUUAAACAGCUCACUAGGAACUAUAAAAUUCAUAAAGAGAUAUUUAACAAAAUAGGAAACUGAGUCCCCAACUGUGAAACAACCUGCUCAGGUAGUCAGAAGAAGAGCCCAGGCUGGGACCCGGCACCAACAGGAGUAACAUGGAAUGUGACUGUAAUACCUAAUUUCUAAAGGAGGUUGGGUAAUUUAAGGAGUGUCUGCUUUCCUCACGAGCUCUUCUAAUGAGGGAGCAGUGUGAGGGGUGUUCGCUAGAGAUCAAUCCUUUUAUAAAGGGUCUCUCAGAAAAAGGAUUAGCUGUUCAGCCUGUAUUUAUGUCUUACACGUGGUUUCAAUUUGAUAUACUUACUCCUUAUUCCUACAUAACCCUAUUUCAUCUCUGUCUUUCUCUUCCCAUUUUCUCUUAUAUUAACUCUGGUUUUAA